rnacentral:tRNA from 1 species
ACUUAUAUAAUAUAAUCAUUAUAUUUAACUUCCAAUUAAAAAAUCUAUAUACUAGUAUAAGUA